GUGCCCACUUGGGCAGCACCUAUGCUAAAAUAGAAAAAGUACAGAGAAAACUAGCAUGGACCCUGCCCAAGGAUGACAUGCAAAUUUAAAGCCAUUUGUAUUUUU
rnacentral:snRNA from 1 species